UACGUAGGGACCAAGCGUUGUUCGGAUUUACUGGGCGUAAAGGGCGCGUAGGCGGCAUGACAAGUCACUUGUGAAAUCUCCGGGCUUAACUCGGAACGGCCAAGUGAUACUGUCAAGCUAGAGUGCAGAAAGGGCAAUCGGAAUUCUUGGUGUAGCGGUGAAAUGCGUAGAUAUCAAGAGGAACACCUGAGGCGAAGGCGGGUUGCUAGGCUGACACUGACGCUGAAGCGCGAAAGCCAGGGGAGCAAACGGG
rnacentral:rRNA from 1 species